GGUGAGUAUUUACCAAAACCUUUUAUUACUUUUGUGAACAUUUAAUCACAAACACUUGUUUGCAGCAAACAGAUAAAAGUGUGACAUAAGGAAAACUGGGGGAGGGCCACCUCCUCCAGAAUACACUGUGGCGGAGGAGUUGGCACUGAGUAACAACAAGGGGCGGCCGAUUAUGGAUGGGAUUGCAAGUGCUGUACAGUCUGACCCUGGUGCUGGCUCCUCUAAGCAAGUGACACUGGUAGAGGGAAAUACAGUGUCCCUGUUGAAGCCAGCACACAGUCUCCUGCACAGAGGGUGAACCAAAUGAUGAA